rnacentral:rRNA from 1 species
AAAAAAGGUAAGCUACUAAGAGCGAAUGGUGGAUGCCUUGACUGGUAAAGGCGAUGAAGGACGUACUAGACUGCGAUAAGCUACGGGGAGCUGUCAAGAAGCUUUGAUCCGUAGAUUUCCGAAUGGGGCAACCCAAUGUAUAGAGAUAUACAUUACCUAUAUAGGAGCGAACGAGGGGAAUUGAAACAUCUUAGUACCCUCAGGAAAAGAAAUCAAUAGAGAUUGCGUCAGUAGCGGCGAGCGAAAGCGCAAGAGGGCAAACCCAGUGCUUGCACUGGGGGUUGUAGGACUGCAAUGUGCAAGAGGUAAGUUUAGCAGAACAUUCUGGAAAGUAUAACCAUAGAGGGUGAUAGUCCCGUAUGCGAAAAACAAACCUUAGCUAGCAGUAUCCUGAGUAGGGCGGGACACGAGGAAUCCUGUCUGAAUCCGGGUCGACCACGAUCCAACCCUAAAUACUAAUACCAGAUCGAUAGUGCACAAGUACCGUGAGGGAAAGGUGAAAAGAACUGAGGUGAUCAGAGUGAAAUAGAACCUGAAACCAUUUGCUUACAAUCAUUCAGAGCCCUAUGUAGCAAUACAGGGUGAUGGACUGCCUUUUGCAUAAUGAGCCUGCGAGUUGUGGUGUCUGGCAAGGUUAAGCAAACGCGAAGCCGUAGCGAAAGCGAGUCUGAAUAGGGCGCUUAGUCAGAUGCUGCAGACCCGAAACGAAGUGAUCUAUCCAUGAGCAAGUUGAAGCUAGUGUAAGAACUAGUGGAGGACUGAACCCAUAGGCGUUGAAAAGCCCCGGGAUGACUUGUGGAUAGGGGUGAAAGGCCAAUCAAACUUCGUGAUAGCUGGUUCUCUCCGAAAUAUAUUUAGGUAUAGCGUUGUGUCGUAAUAUAAGGGGGUAGAGCACUGAAUGGGCUAGGGCAUACACCAAUGUACCAAACCCUAUCAAACUCCGAAUACCUUAUAUGUAAUCACAGCAGUCAGGCGGCGAGUGAUAAAAUCCGUCGUCAAGAGGGAAACAACCCAGACUACCAGCUAAGGUCCCUAAAUCUUACUUAAGUGGAAAACGAUGUGAAGUUACUUAAACAACCAGGAGGUUGGCUUAGAAGCAGCCAUCCUUUAAAGAAAGCGUAAUAGCUCACUGGUCUAGUGAUUUUGCGCGGAAAAUAUAACGGGGCUAAAGUAAGUACCGAAGCUGUAGA